AUACGGAGGGUGCAAGCGUUAUUCGGAAUCACUGGGCGUAAAGGACGCGUAGGCGGGUUGGCAAGUCAGAUGUGAAAUCCUACAGCUUAACUGUAGAACUGCAUUUGAAACUGCUAACCUAGAGUGUGGGAGGGGGAGAUGGAAUUAGUGGUGUAGGGGUAAAAUCCGUAGAUAUCACUAGGAAUACCGAAAGCGAAGGCGAUCUCCUGGAACAUAACUGACGCUAAGGCGUGAAAGCGUGGGGAGCAAACAGGAUUAGAUACCCUGGUAGUCC
rnacentral:rRNA from 1 species